UGGGGAAUCUUGCGCAAUGGGGGCAACCCUGACGCAGCCAUGCCGCGUGAACGAUGAAGGCCUUAGGGUUGUAAAGUUCUUUUACCCGUGACGAUGAUGACGGUAACGGGGGAAUAAGCUCCGGCUAACUUCGUGCCAGCAGCCGCGGUAAUACGAAGGGGGCUAGCGUUGUUCGGAAUUACUGGGCGUAAAGCGCGCGCAGGCGGUUCGAUAAGUUGGGGGUGAAAUCCCCGGGCUCAACCCGGGAAUGGCCUUCAAGACUGUCGAGCUAGAGGACGAGAGAGGUGAGUGGAAUUCCCAGUGUAGAGGUGAAAUUCGUAGAUAUUGGGAAGAACACCGGUGGCGAAGGCGGCUCACUGGCUCGUUUCUGACGCUGAGGCGCGAAAGCGUGGGGAGCAAACAGG
rnacentral:rRNA from 1 species